rnacentral:rRNA from 1 species
GACGAACGCUGGCGGCGUGCUUAACACAUGCAAGUCGAACGGAAAGGCCCUGCUUUUGUGGGGUGCUCGAGUGGCGAACGGGUGAGUAACACGUGAGCAACCUGCCCUUGACUUUGGGAUAACUUCAGGGAAAUGGGGCUAAUAACGGAUAGGAGCUCCUGCUGCAUGGUGGGGGUUGGAAAGUUUCGGCGGUUGGGGAUGGACUCGCGGCUUAUCAGCUUGUUGGUGGGGUAGUGGCUUACCAAGGCUUUGACGGGUAGCCGGCCUGAGAGGGUGACCGGCCACAUUGGGACUGAGAUACGGCCCAGACUCCUACGGGAGGCAGCAGUGGGGAAUAUUGCACAAUGGGCGGAAGCCUGAUGCAGCAACGCCGCGUGCGGGAUGACGGCCUUCGGGUUGUAAACCGCUUUCGCCUGUGACGAAGCGUGAGUGACGGUAAUGGGUAAAGAAGCACCGGCUAACUACGUG